rnacentral:rRNA from 1 species
UACGUAGGGGCCGAGCGUUGUCCGGAGUUACUGGGCGUAAAGCGCGCGCAGGCGGUCGUGCGCGCCCGGCGUGAAAGCCCCCGGCUCAACCGGGGAGGGUCGCCGGGGACGGCACGACUUGAGGGCGGCAGGGGUCGGUGGAAUGCCCGGUGUAGUGGUGAAAUGCGUAGAGAUCGGGCGGAACACCCGUGGCGAAGGCGGCCGACUGGGCCGGCCCUGACGCUGAGGCGCGAAGGCGUGGGGAGCGAACGGG